AUCACUUCUUGGUCUUGGGGCUAAGAUCAAGUAUAGUAUCUGUUCUCAUCAGUCUACCAUCUGAUAUGCCCUCUAUCAGAGGACAAUAUAUUAAAUGUAUUUUUGUAAGUAGGAGGUAGACUAGCAGCUUGCUCCAUUCACUCUAUGCAUCAAGCUGGUAUUGCAGUAUCUCCAGGAAGGGUGCACCCCCU